rnacentral:lncRNA from 13 species
UGAUACUGUCGUAGAGCAUCAAACCCAAGAAAGUCAUCCUGACUGAUACUGUCAAUGUGCAUCAAACCCAAGAAAGCCAACCUAACUGAUACUGUCGUAGUGCAACAAACCAAAUAAAGCCAACCUAACUGAUACGGGCAAUGUGCAUCAACCCCAAGAAGGCCAACCUAACUGAUACUGUCAUAGUGCAUCACACCCAAGAAAGCCAACCUAACUGAUACUGUCAUAGUGCAUCACAACUAAGGACGCCAACCUAACUGAUACUGUUAACGUGAUUAAAACCCAAGAAAGCCAACCUAACUGAUGCUGCCAUGGUGCAUCAAAUCCAAGAAAGCCAACUUAACUGAUACUGUCGUAGUGCAUCAAACCCAAGAAAGCCAACCUAACUGAUACUGUCGUAGUGCAUCAAACCCAAGAAAGCCAACCUAACUGAUACUGUCAUUGUGCAUCAAACCCAAGAAAACCAACCUAACUGGUACUGUCGUAGUGCAUCAAACCUAAGAAAGCCAACCUAACUGAUACUGUCGUAAUGCAUCAAUCCCAAGAAAGCCAACCUAACUGAUACUGUCGUAGUGCAUCAAAUCAAGAAAGCCAACCUGACUGAUACUGUCAAUGUGCAUCACACCUAAGGAAGCCAACCUAACUGAUACUGUUAACGUGAUUCAAACCCAAGAAAGACAACCUAACUGAUACUGUCGUAGUGCAUCAAACCCUAGAAAGCCAACCCAACUGAUUCUGUCGUAGUGCAUCAAACCCUAGAAAGCCAACCUAACUGAUACUUCAUUGUGCAUCAAACCCAAGAAAGCCAACCUGACUGAUACUGUCAAUGUGCAUCAAACCAAAGAAAGCUAACCUAACUGAUACUUCAUUGUGCAUCAAACCCAAGAAAGCCAACCACCUAACUGGUACUGUCGUAGUCCAUCAAACCCAAGAAAUCCAACCUAACUGAUACUGUCGUAGUGCAUCAAACCCAAAAAAUCCAACCUAACUGAUACUGUCGUAGUGCAUCACACAGUCUGGAACUGUCAUAGUGCAGCCUAAACAAACAUUAGCAAGUAGUUACACAAGAACUUACUCAGCUGUGCCAAAAUGCUCUGCAUUGUUAGACCAUGGACAUAUCCUAGGGGUCAUAUGGGUAGAGACUGAAAAUCAGGAGGGUGGAGAGAUAGGCCUAGAUGGAGAUCUAGUUUUGAAGGAAAUAUUAUGUGAAUGAAAAGCAAGAGCGAGAGACAAGAGAGAAAGGAAGCGACAGCUGAGGGAAAAGGAGUUGU